UACGAAGGGGCUAGCGUUGUUCGGAAUCACUGGGCGUAAAGGGCGCGUAGGCGGCCAUAUAAGUCGGGGGUGAAAGCCUGUGGCUCAACCACAGAAUUGCCUUCGAUACUGUAUGGCUCGAGACCGGAAGAGGUAAGUGGAACUGCGAGUGUAGAGGUGAAAUUCGUAGAUAUUCGCAAGAACACCAGUGGCGAAGGCGGCUUACUGGUCCGGUUCUGGACGCUGAGGCGCGAAAGCGUGGG
rnacentral:rRNA from 1 species